rnacentral:rRNA from 1 species
UUGGCUCAGGAUGAACGCUGGCGGCGUGCCUAACACAUGCAAGUCGAACGGAACUGCUUUGAAUGAAUUCUUCGGAAGGAAUUUGAUUCAGUUUAGUGGCGGACGGGUGAGUAACGCGUGAGUAACCUGCCUUCAAGAGGGGGAUAACAUUCUGAAAAGAAUGCUAAUACCGCAUAAUAUAUAACUGUCGCAUGGCAGAAAUAUCAAAGAUUUAUCGCUUGAAGAUGGACUCGCGUCCGAUUAGUUAGUUGGUGAGGUAACGGCUCACCAAGACCGCGAUCGGUAGCCGGACUGAGAGGUUGAACGGCCACAUUGGGACUGAGACACGGCCCAGACUCCUACGGGAGGCAGCAGUGGGGAAUA